AACACGUGGGUAACCUGCCUUAUAGUGGGGGAUAGCCUUUCGAAAGGAAGAUUAAUACCGCAUAAGAUUGUAGUAUCGCAUGAUAUAGCAAUUAAAGGAGCAAUUCGCUAUAAGAUGGACCCGCGUCGCAUUAGCUAGUUGGUGAGGUAAUGGCUCACCAAGGCGACGAUGCGUAGCCGACCUGAGAGGGGGAUCGGCCACAUUGGGACUGAGACACGGCCCAGACUCCUACGGGAGGCAGCAUG
rnacentral:rRNA from 1 species